CCUACGGGCGGCUGCAGUGAGGAAUAUUGGUCAAUGGGCGUAAGCCUGAACCAGCCAUCCCGCGUGAAGGAAGAAGGCGCUAUGCGUCGUAAACUUCUUUUCCAGAAGAAGAAAACCCCCGACGUGUCGGGGCUUGCCGGUACUCUGGGAAUAAGCAUCGGCUAACUCCGUGCCAGCAGCCGCGGUAAUACGGAGGAUGCGAGCGUUAUCCGGAUUUAUUGGGUUUAAAGGGUGCGUAGGCGGAUUAAUAAGUCAGUGGUGAAAACCUUCAGCUUAACUGGAGACUUGCCAUUGAUACUGUUAGUCUUGAGUACGGUCAAGGUAGGCGGAAUGUGUAAUGUAGCGGUGAAAUGCUUAGAUAUUACACAGAACACCGAUUGCGAAGGCAGCUUACUGGGCCAUUACUGACGCUGAUGCACGAAAGCGUGGGGAGCGAACAGGCUUAGAUACCCCGGUAGUC
rnacentral:rRNA from 1 species